rnacentral:lncRNA from 1 species
GUUCAGAGAAGAGUUAGAAAAUAAAAGAGACUGUGCUUCCCAAGCCCUGAAUUCCAGCAGCUGCAUUGGAAGAGACUGCAGUUUUGGAAGGAAUGGGAGAUUGAGUCAGAUCAAGGGAUAUACAGAAAUAUAUGGAGGAGAGUUCCCGUGAUGACCUGGAAUGCUUGGACUUCUAUGGUGGCUGAGACCAAAAGGAGUAUGAAACAUGAUGAUUAGUUCCAUCACCACUGAAGGAAACGUGGAAAAUUCAUUCUAAGUAUAUCUUCCUUCUUGGGAAUAGGAUCCUUGGGUGGUAUGUGAUGAUGGGGCAGGUUGAGGAGCUAGGUGCUUGGGGUGGUGGGAAAGGAGACUGGGAGGUUCUGAAACCCUUUUAAGUCAAGCUGGGGGCAGUGUCAAAAGGGAGAUAGGAUAAUAGCCCCGCUACUGUUAACUGUAAACUGUGAGUCUCCUUUAAAAUCUUUGACAAAAGCAGUUAAAUGGUCUGGUCCUUAAGAUUUACCAAAUUAUGUUGCAAUCAGUUUUCUGUAUCUGUCUGCACUAGGCUUUAAAUUGCCCCAGCAGAAACCUUUUCUUAUUUAUCUUUUAAUUUUCAGCACCUAGAUUAAGAAACAUUUGAUGUACUGAAGUUAACUGCUUAAAGAACCAAAGACAAGGUUUUGUUGUGCUAAAGUGAAGUAACCAAAUAAGGAAAAAUUUUUUGUUAGCAUUUCUGGAUUGUAAUUUUACCAGGCCGGAAGUGUUACUAAAUGCACUCAUAUUUUUAACCACAAACAGGACUUUCCUUUUUUACUAGUUCAAAGAAUUAAAAUAGUUUCUGCCAGGAAUUGAUGCAAUAAUAUAUGUGUUUAAGUGUUACAUUAAGAAAUCAAUAUUUCUAGCUAGCACUAAGCACAUUAAGCGUCCCUUAACUUAAAAGUGUGAACAGUGUGUUUGCUUGAGAUUAAUUUCAUGAAAAGAAAAGAUAAAUUAGAUUAGCUAACCUAAGCAGACAAUGAGAUGCCAGCAUUGUCUUUAGUUCUAAACUCUGCUCUAUUUGGGGCAUAGAUUUUUUUCCCUUUCUCAGAGCUUGUUGUUUGGAUCAGGGAGAUUUAAAGCAAUGUGGAAAGUAAAGAGACCCUCUCUUCAAAAAAUCUGCCUUCUGCUCUCAGCUUCAAUAGAAACUGAAGUGCAAAGAAGCUCAAUAAAGUCUUUCAAGUUCACUCAGCUACAAAAGGGAAGAGUGGAAUUCAAACCUAUGCAAUGUGACCUCAUGAAAGUAGAACUAUAGAUUAUUUUUCUUUUUCAUGCUGUCCUAUAUUAUGAUUGAAAUAUUGCUCAAAUUAUUUUUAAACAAAGGAAUUUUCUGUCAUCUUUUCCACUCCAAAAAAGCUAAAUGUUUAGAAAACAUAUCUCUGUAGUGCUUUACCAAAUUCUGUGGUGAUUUCUCUAACUCUUUGAGGAUUACUUAGUUUUAAAAGCACCUGGGAAAACAAGAAUCAGCACUCCACAUCCUAGUAUCAUUCCUAAUAAACCAGUUUCAGCUAUAACUUGAUUAAAGAGAGUGAAUGCCGCCAGCUUCCAGGAACAAUCAGCUCUACCGUGCCUGUUGGGACAAAGAUUAUUAUCAUAUGUUCUCAUUUACCUGGUGAACACACUGCACUCUACUGUAGGUGAACACUCCCACGCUAAAGAAACAACUACAAUCAAAUUAUAGAAGAUCAUACUUUCCUUGAUUGCAGAGGCACAGGUUAGAAAAAAAUGUGUAACAACUUUUUUUUUUCUUUUUUAUCUUUUCAUAAGUAAAAUCCUGCAGGGAAUUCUCUAACUUGAGCAUUGUUAACAGAUGACAUACCACUCUCUUUUACUUUCACUCGAGAACAAAGGUAAAGCUGAGUGUCAUCGUGUAUAUACACUCAGUUUAGAUUCCUUUUAGAGAAAUAAUAUACUGGUUUGUCUUGCAUAGCUUGGGGCCACUGGAUUGUGGUGACAUUUUCAGUAAACCCCAAAUACUGAUUAAUCUCUCCAAAUUAGUCCUCUUACCUAGCUCAUUCCUAAGAAUCAAUAUUCUUUAAAAAAAAUUUCCAAUAUAUAAACAAUUUAAAUAUUUUAGUCACUUUUCCUAUAAGUCUUCAGCAAUAAUGAGAGAGACCUGAGACAGAAGAAGAAAACAACAAAUACACAAAAACUAAUUUCUACCUAUGACAACUCCAUUGAUUUAUCUUUGGAAUAGAAACUGCUUUCAUUCUCUUCAGAAUGUGCUGAUUUUUUUUUUUUCUUAGAUUGUAUCUCAGUGACCUGGGUCGUGUACAAGAUAUUCAGCAAGUUGUUCAGUAGGUAGAAGGAAGUCACUAAUUUAUCCCCUCUACCUAUUGCCAAGCAAAUUCACUUAGGGGUGAGGCUCCAGAAAUGCUUUCUUCAUGACUGACCAGCAGUUAGAUGACAUGGCUUCUGGGACAGAAUGACGGUGUUAGCGGUCAGAGUCAGGGCUAAACUUUGUUAGUGCUUCUCACCUUUGCAUAAGUCAUUUCAGCCAAUAGUCUUGCUUUCACUUACUGUCCAAAUGAAGAGAAGGGCAAUGAUUAAAACCUACUCCGUGGCAUAUUUGUAAAA